rnacentral:rRNA from 1 species
UACGUAGGGGGCUAGCGUUGUCCGGAAUCAUUGGGCGUAAAGCGCGUGUAGGCGGUUCGGUAAGUCCGCUGUGAAAGUCGGGGGCUCAACCCUCGAAUGCCGGUGGAUACUGUCGGACUAGAGUACGGUCGGGGUAGAAGGAAUUCCUGGUGUAGCGGUGAAAUGCGUAGAGAUCAGGAAGAACACCGGUGGCGAAAGCGUUCUGCUAGACCUGUACUGACACUGAGGGACGAAAGCUAGGGGAGCGAAU